GCGGGUGUAGUUUAGUGGUAAAACUACAGCCUUCCAAGCUGUUGUCGCGAGUUCGAUUCUCGUCACAUGAG
rnacentral:tRNA from 1 species